rnacentral:tRNA from 1 species
GGGCCCGUAGCUCAGCAUGGAUAGAGCGCCGGCCUUCUAAGUCGGAGGUCGAGGGUUCAAGUCCCUCCGGGCCCG